GACGUAGGGCGCGAGCGUUGUCCGGAUUUAUUGGGCGUAAAGAGCUCGUAGGCGGCUCGUUGCGUCGGCUGUGAAAACCCGCAGCUCAACUGUGGGCUUGCAGCUGAUACGGGCGGGCUGGGAUUCGGUAGGGGAGACUGGAAUUCCUGGUGUAGCGGUGAAAUGCGCAGAUAUCAGGAGGAACACCGGUGGCGAAGGCGGGUCUCUGGACAUUUCCUGACGCUGAGGCACGAAAGCCAGAGGAGCAAACGGG
rnacentral:rRNA from 1 species